GAAAUGCGAUAAGUAAUGUGAAUUGCAGAAUUCAGUGAAUCAUCGAAUCUUUGAACGCACCUUGCGCUCCUUGGUAUUCCUUGGAGCAUGCCUGUUUGAGUAUCAUGAAAUCUUCAAAGUAAAUCUUUUGUUAACUCAAUUGGUUUCUACUUUGGUAUUGGAGGUCUUUGCAGCUUCACACCUGCUCCUCUUUGUUCAUUAGCUGGAUCUCAGUGUUAUGCUUGGUUCCACUCGGCGUGAUAAGUUAUCUAUCGCUGAGGACACUGUAAAAGGUGGCCAAGGUAAAUGCAGAUGAACCGCUUCUAAUAGUCCAUUGACUUGGACAAUACUUUUAUGAUCUGAUCUCAAAUCAGGUAGAACUACCCGCAGAACUUAGGC
rnacentral:misc_RNA from 1 species